rnacentral:rRNA from 1 species
AGGCGACGACGGGUAGCCGGCCUGAGAGGGCGACCGGCCACACUGGGACUGAGACACGGCCCAGACUCCUACGGGAGGCAGCAGUGGGGAAUAUUGCACAAUGGGCGCAAGCCUGAUGCAGCGACGCCGCGUGAGGGAUGACGGCCUUCGGGUUGUAAAGCACUCUUGGAGGGGAUGAGAAAGGACAGUACCCUUCGAAUAAGCCUCGGCUAACUACGUGCCAGCAGCCGCGGUAACACGUAGGAGGCAAACGUUAUCCGGAUUUACUGGGCGUAAAGCGCGUGUAGGUGGUACUGUAAGUAGGGCGUGAAAGCUCCCGGCUCAACUGGGAGAGGCCGUUCUAAACUACAGAACUAGAGGAUGGUAGAGGGAGGUGGAAUUCCAGGUGUAGCGGUGGAAUGCGCAGAUAUCUGGAGGAACACCGGUGGCGAAGGCGGCCUCCUGGACCAUUCCUGACACUCAGACGCGAAAGCUAGGGUAGCAAACGGGAUUAGAGACCCCGGUAGUCCUAGCCCUAAACGAUGUAGACUAGGCGUCGGAAGUUUAAUCACUUUCGGUGUCCAAGCUAACGCGAUAAGUCUACCGCCUGGGGACUACGGCCGCAAGGUUAAAACUCAAAGGAAUUGACGGGUCCCCGCACAAGCAGCGGAGCGUGUGGUUUAAUUCGUUCCUACACGAAGAACCUUACCUGGGUUUGACAUAGCAGUGGUAGGGAAGCGAAAGCGGACCGACCCUUCGGGGAGCUGUUACAGGUGUUGCAUGGCUGUCGUCAGCUCGUGUCGUGAGAUGUUCGGUUAAGUCCGCUAACGAGCGCAACCCGCGUUGUGUGUUACAAGUGUCACACAAUACCGCCGGUAUUAAGUCGGAGGAAGGUGCGGAUGACGUCAAGUCAGCAUGACCUUUAUAUCCAGGGCUACACACACGCUACAAUGGUCAGCACAAUAGGUUGCCAAGUCGUGAGACGGAGCCAAUCCUCUAAAGCUGGCCUCAGUUCAGAUUGCAGGCUGCAACUCGCCUGCAUGAAGUUGGAGUUGCUAGUAACCGCAGGUCAGCUAUACUGCGGUGAAUACGUUCCCGGGGAUUGUACACACCGCCCGUCAAGUCAUGGGAGCUGGCAACACCUGAAGCCGGUAUCCUAACCCGCAAGGGAGGGAGCUGUCAAAGGUGGGGUUGGUGACUGGGACUAAGUCGUAACAAGGUAGGUGUACCGGAAGGUGCGCCUG